rfam:Aedes albopictus isolate Foshan contig136544, whole genome shotgun sequence.
AAAACGGCCCUUUUCAGGGCCAUCCUAAUUAACCCUCUAAUACCCA